rnacentral:misc_RNA from 1 species
AAUUAUAUUCUACUCUUCCCAGAAGAAUAGAGAUUAUGAAUGUUCAUUUGUAAUACAAUGAUCAUUUUAAAUAUAGAAAUAAUCAACAAGAUUCUUCAGCGACAUUCAGUUGUGUUUGGAAUUGACCUUGAUAAAUUCUAAAAUAUACUCUACCUUAUCAUUA